UCCUUCUCCUUUCUCUAUUUUCCUUGAUAUUCUGAUUCGAACAUCCGUGCCACACCAGUAGGCCGUCAGUAUGGUUCAGCAUGCUCCAAAUUAUCUGGUUCAAGAUGGUUCAGUGAACCUUGUCCUUGAGAAGCCAUAUGAUGGGUGCUAGAAAAUAAUAGAGUUUCUAUUAGAUAUAUUAGUGUAAUUAAAGACAUGUACAAUAGAGCGGUUACCAGUAUGAGAAC
rnacentral:lncRNA from 1 species